ensembl:lncRNA novel transcript
GGGAACCCGCUGGAGUCCCUUUCCACAGUGUGGAAGCUUUGUUCUUUCGCUCUUUGCAAUAAAUCCUGCUGCUGCUCACUCUUUGGGUCCACACUGCCUUUAUGAGCUGUAACACUCACCAUGAAGGUCUGCAGCUUCACUCGUGCCUGAGCCAGCGAGAGCAGGAACCCACCAGAAGGAAGAAACUCCAAACACAUCCGAACAUCAGAAGGAACAAACUCCAGAUGCGCCACCUUAAGAGCUGUAACACUCACCACGAGGGUCCGGGGCUUCGUUCUUGAAGUCAGUGAGACCAAGAACCCACCAAUUCUGGACACAGGAGCACAGGUGUCUUUUCAAGAUUCUGAUUUCAUUUCCUUUGGAUGUAUACCCAGCAGUGGGAUUUGUGUUCAUAAGAUAAAAGUAAAGCAAAUGAAAUAUUAUGAAGUAUCAAGGUGACACUGUAGAAGCUUAAUGAUUACUUCAGAAGGAUGUUCACCAUAAAGAUUAAGAAAAUUGAUUUUGUAAAAUGUGAUACUAUUUUUAUAAAAACUACAAAUCUGUCAUCACUAAGCAAGUUCUUCCCACUCAUGGAUUCUAGAGGAGUUCACCCAUGUCCAGAGAAAGUUUGCAAUUAAGGUCAUUCCUCGCUCAUUGGGAACACUGAGUCAAAGAAAAUAAGUUUGCAAGAAGACAAGGAAUGACCUGUAGGCAUACUAAGCCUGCAUUUGAGACUGACAAGGAGUGAGAGAUACUGUUUUGAGUGUGUGUGAAAAUGAAGAGAAUGAAUCAUCUUUUACUGAUUAUAAUCUAUAACUUGAGUUUGCAAGUCAAAGAACUUCUGAAACAGGGGUAAGGGUCUCUUAUUUAUUGGUUUGUCAAAAGCUAUGAAUAAUAGUAAAACAAUUUUAAUAGAAACUUGGAUAUCAGGUAAAUGUUUAAUAAAUGAUUAAGAUCUUUUGUC